UUGGUUCAUAAUCACCCUUUUCUCAAUUAAUCACAUUAACUAAGAAAGCAACUUAAACAAUUGGUUUUUGGAUCCAUAGAAUUGAUUUAAAUGGAACUAAAUGAAAUGAAAAUCCAAUUCUCAAUAAAGAGACAAAACCAUUUUGUUCUCAUCUUAUUUGGGCCAAAAGGGAACUAUGACCACAACAAUUGGGCCACAAUGCAAAUACAAAAACUUUUGGGGUCACUUUGUAAAAACACAAAAGUCCACAACUUCAUGUAAUUACAACUAGAACCCAAAAUUUUAAUAAUGUAAAAACAUCAUUAAAGGAUCAAAACAAUUUAUCCUUUAAAGUUUUUGGGCCUUAACGUAAAAACGUAAACUUUUGGGCCAAAGUGCAAAUACACAAAAGUAUCAAAACUUUAUGUAAUUGCAUAAAAGACCCCAAAAGUACCCCCACUAGGGGGUGGCCGGCCAUUUGAGAAUAUAUGGAAAAUUUUCUAAAAAAUUUUUGCAAGUUGAUUUUGUUAGGUGAGGUUAAAGUUGAUUAGGAUGGUUUUGUAAGAUAUUUUGUCUAACAAUAAAUAUAUUUUGUUAUCCUUCACAAAUAUCCUUCACCUAACAAAAUAAACUAAAACUUUAUGAAAAACAUUAAACUUUUGAAUCAAAAACCCAAACCUUUUUGUUCUUGGCAAGAACUUCAAGAACAUUGAAGAACACUCAUGAAAACUCAUAAGAGCUCCAUGAAUGUUUUCACUCAUUAAAACUCAAAUUUUGACCACUCAAAAGAGGGCUAACAUCCUAGGGUACUUAGGGGUUCCAAAAGUCACCUUAAAAUCAUUUUAACAAGACAAACAUGAACCCAAAAAAUCACCCUUUGGAUUUGGCCGAAUUUCCCAACAUACAUGGCACCAAAUUUUAGUUCCAAUAUUCAUGCUUAAAUGAAAUACAUCUACAACAUUUGAGAUGCUAAAUUUUCUAGCAAAAUUUAUAUUCAAAGCAAGAACAAAGCUUGUAACAUUUACAACAUUUAAAUCACAAAUCAUGAAAAUCACAAAACCCAAAAGGAUUCACCAUAAACUAGGCCUAGGCUCUGAUACCACUUGAAGGAAAAAUUUUGUCCUAGCUAAGAACAAGUAAGAACAUUUGAAUACAUAUGCAUACUAUUAACACUUUAAAGUAGGCAUGCAUUAAAAAACAAUUCAUAAAACCCAUGACUUUCAAAGCCUAGUUUAUGGCGAACCAAAAGACUCUUUAACAACAUUAAAGAGAAGUAAAGAUUUAGAGUUUCUUUACC
rnacentral:lncRNA from 1 species